rnacentral:rRNA from 1 species
AUGAACUGCUGCUGCCGCGUCUGUCGUCCAGACCUUGGGUUUGCCUUAUUUGGCCGCCUCCUAAGGACAGGCCUCAAAACAGAUGAUAUCGUCACCAACACCCUCCUCAAGUGCCUCUGCUGCGCAAAACGGACAGACGAGGCUGUCAGCGUGCUGCUUCAUAGGAUGUCCAAGCUUGGUUGUGUGCCUGAUGCCAUCUCAUACAACACAGUUCUUAAGAGCUUAUGUGAUAAUAGCAGCAGCCAGCGGGCGCUCGACCUCCUUCAGAUGAUGACGAAAGGAGGUGGCUGCUCCCCUGACGUAGUGACAUACAACACGGUCAUCCAUGGCUUCCUGCAGGAAGGGGAAGUAAGCAAGGCAUGCGAUCGAUACCAUGAAAUGGUGCAGCAAGGGGUUCUGCAUGAUGUGGUGACAUAUAAUUCGAUUCUUGAUGCGCUGUGCAAGGCAGGAGCUAUGGACAAGGCUGAGUUGUUCCUUCGGCAGAUGGUUGAUGAUGAUAUUCGACCGAAUGAAGUGACAUAUAAUGCAAUGAUCCAUGGAUAUUCCACUUUGGGCCAGUGGAAAAGGGCGACUCAAAUGUUUAGAGAAAUGACAAGCCGUGGUCUUGCUCCAAAUAUUGUUACUUGGAGCUCGUUGAUGACCUCCCUCUGCAAGCAUGGAAGAAGCAAAGAAGCUGCAGAAAUUUUUCAUUCCAUGGCUGCAAAAGGCCACAAGCCUAACAUCGUUACGUAUCGUGUUCUGCUUCACGGGUAUGCCGCUGAGGGAUUCUUUGCAGAUAUGAUUGAUCUCUUUAAUUCAAUCGCAAACAAUGGUAUUGUACCCGAUUGCCACGUUUUCAACAUAUUAAUUAAUGCAUAUGCUAAAUGUGGAAUGAUGGAUGAAGCUAUGUCAAUGCUUACUGAAAUGCGGGGACAAGGAGUGAGUCCGGAUGUGUUCACCUAUGCAACUGUAAUAGCUGCACUUUGCAGAAUGGGUAGGUUGACUGAUGUUAUGGACAAUUUUAAUCGGAUGAUUGGGAAGGGAGUACAACCGAGCAAAGUUGUUUAUCACUCCCUAAUUCAGGGUUUCUGUACGCUUGGUGAUCUGGUGAAAGUGAAGAAGUUGAUUUUUGAAAUAACGGACAAAGGUAUUCCUCACCCUAACAUUGUCUUCUUCAGUUCAAUAAUGCAUAGUCUGUGCAACGAAGGAAGGGUUAUGGACGCACACCAUAUCUUUGACUUGGUUAUAGACAUUGGUGAGAGACCUGAUCUCAUUACAUUUAAUAUGCUGAUUGACGGAUAUUGCUUAGUCAGCAAGAUGGAGGAAGCACUCCGACUACUUGAUUCCAUGGUAUCAGCUGGCAUUAAGCCAAAUGUGAUUACAUAUAAUACACUUAUUAAUGGCUAUUGUAGGAGUGGAAGGCUUGAUGAUGGCGUUAUUCUAUUCAGAGAAAUGUUGCAUACCAGAGUUAAACCUAACACUGUUACAUAUAACAUCAUACUGGAUGGGUUAUUUCGUGCUGGAAGAACUGUUGCUGCAAAAAAGAUGUUCCAUGAGAUGAUCGAAACUGGAACAGCAGUGAGCAUUUCCACAUACAGCAUAGUUCUUGGAGGACUUUGUAGGAAUAACUGCACCGAUGAAGCAAUCGCUUUUUUCCAGAAAUUAGUUGCAAUGAAUGUGAAGUUCGAUAUUGUGAUACUCAAUACCAUGAUUAAGGCAAUGUACAAGGUUCAGAGAAGAGAAGAAGCUAACGAUUUGUUUGCUUCAUUACCAGCCUGUGGGCUGGUACCUAAUGCCUCUACUUACGGAGUAGUAAUACAGAAUCUUCUGAAAGAAGGAUCGUUGGAAGAAGCUGACAAUAUGUUUUCAUCAAUGGAGAAGAGUGGUUGUGCUCCAAGCUCUCGUCUUGUAAAUGAUAUCACCAGAAAAUUAUUGGAAAAGGGGGAGAUAGUCAAGGCCGGAAAUUAUAUGUCGAAAGUUGACGGGAAGAUCAUCUCCUUUGAAGCUUCAACCACUUCGUUGUUGUUGUCUCUCUUUUCGGAGAAAGGCAAAUAUCGGGAACAAUUACAAUUGCUCCCCGCGAAAUACCAAUUUUUUGAGGGAGUCAUU